rnacentral:rRNA from 1 species
UACGGAGGAUCCGAGCGUUAUCCGGAUUUAUUGGGUUUAAAGGGAGCGUAGGCGGCCUGUUAAGUCAGGGGUGAAAGACGGUGGCUCAACCAUCGCAGUGCCUUUGAUACUGACAGGCUUGAAUGUAGUUGAGGUGGGCGGAAUGUGACAAGUAGCGGUGAAAUGCUUAGAUAUGUCAUAGAACACCGAUAGCGAAGGCAGCUCACUAGGCCUGGAUUGACGCUAAGGGACGAAAGCGUGGGGAGCAAACAGG